rnacentral:rRNA from 1 species
CGGGAGGCAGCAGUUAGGAAUCUUCCACAAUGGGCGAAAGCCUGAUGGAGCGACGCCGCGUGAGGGAUGAAGGUUUUCGGAUCGUAAACCUCUGAAUCAGGGACGAAAGACACUUCGGUGGGAUGACGGUACCUGAGUAAUAGCACCGGCUAACUCCGUGCCAGCAGCCGCGGUAAUACGGAGGGUGCAAGCAUUACCCGGAAUCACUGGGCGUAAAGGGCGUGUAGGCGGAUCAGUAAGUCUGGUUUUAAAGACUGCGGCUCAACCGCAGGGAUGGACUGGAUACUGUUGAUCUUGACCUCUGGAGAGGAAACCGGAAUUCCUGGUGUAGCGGUGGAAUGCGUAGAUACCAGGAGGAGCACCAAUGGCGAAGGCAGGUUUCUGGACAGAAGGUGACGCUGAGGCGCGAAAGUGUGGGGAGCGAACCGGAUUAGAUACCCGGGUAGUCCACGCCCUAAAC